CCUACGGGUGGCAGCAGUGGGGGAUAUUGCACAAUGGGGGAAACCCUGAUGCAGCGACGCCGCGUGGGUGAAGAAGCGCCUCGGCGCGUAAAGCCCUGUCAGCAGGGAAGAAAAUGACGGUACCUGAAGAAGAAGCCCCGGCGAACUACGUGCCAGCAGCCGCGGUAAGACGGAGGGGGCAAGCGUUAUCCGGAUUUACUGGGUGUAAGGGGGGCGCAGACGGCGAUGGCAGCCAGGUGGGCAAGCCCGGGGCCCAACCCCGGGACUGCUCUUGGAACUGCGUGGCUAGAGUGCAGGAGGGGCAGGCGGAAUUCCUGGUGUAGCGGUGAAAUGCGUAGAUAUCAGGAGGAACACCGGUGGCGAAGGCGGCCUGCUGGACUGCAACUGACGUUGAGUCCCGAAAGCGUGGGGAGCAAACAGGAUUAGAUACCCGUGUAGUC
rnacentral:rRNA from 1 species